GAUGAACGCUGGCGGCGUGCUUAACACAUGCAAGUCGAACGAAGCACUUUAUUUGAUUUCCUUCGGGACUGAUUAUUUUGUGACUGAGUGGCGGACGGGUGAGUAACGCGUGGGUAACCUGCCUUGUACAGGGGGAUAACAGUUGGAAACGGCUGCUAAUACCGCAUAAGCGCACAGCAUCGCAUGAUGCAGUGUGAAAAACUCCGGUGGUAUAAGAUGGACCCGCGUUGGAUUAGCUAGUUGGUGAGGUAACGGCCCACCAAGGCGACGAUCCAUAGCCGACCUGAGAGGGUGACCGGCCACAUUGGGACUGAGACACGGCCCAAACUCCUACGGGAGGCAGCAGUGGGGAAUAUUGCACAAUGGGCGAAAGCCUGAUGCAGCGACGCCGCGUGAGCGAAGAAGUAUUUCGGUAUGUAAAGCUCUAUGAGCAGGGAAGAUAAUGACGGUACCUGACUAAGAAGCACCGGCUAAAUACGUG
rnacentral:rRNA from 1 species